ACAAAGACAGGAUUCCAUUUAACGAAUGGCUAGGGUAACCUAAGGGAAAGUGCAACAGAAAAUUACCGCCUUAUAGAAUCUUAAGAUCUUAAGGUAAGGGUGAAAAGGUGAGGUAAGAGCUCACCGGUCUUUCAGCAAUGUUAGGCGUCUAUGCAAACCCAAUUCGUAGCAAGAAGAAUAUGGUUAAAGUCUUAAGAUAAUAAAUUCUUCGCUUGAGAUAUGUUGUGAAACAUAUCCUAGAUAAAUAGCCACCCACG
rnacentral:misc_RNA from 1 species